CAUUAAAAACGGUACAUUCACAUAUCUCAUUCCAACUUCCCCAAGACUCUUCCUCUCCCCUUGAACCCUAACGCACGCGGCAAAACUCAUGACGGCAAACCUCACGGCGGCAACCCCCACUUCUCACCUAACCGGCGGCAACCCUCUUCUGACCUAAGUGGUGGCUACAAUUGAUCCUUCUCCUCUCCUCUCCUCUCGAACCUUAAUACCAGCUCUGAUGGUGAUGAUGGCGAAAUCGCCACAAACAAACAACGGUUAUAGCAGUGGAAAACCGCCACAGGUAAACCUUUUCCUGAAAUUGUUGAACCCUAAAUCAAUUCUUCAUUUGCUAUUGUUACAGAUCCAGGAACCUAAAGCCAAAAUCUCCCUUCACAAGAAACUAAAACGACACCGACCUUUGGUUUAGCGAACACAAGGUGUUGGAUUUAUGGUUCUGGUCACAAGUUAAGAAAGCAUACCGUGAAUCAUAGAUCAAUAAAACGAUUGACUGGUUAAUGAACAAAGCUCUUAUACCACUGGUUGGAUCUAUUACUUGAUGUUUACUUAAAUCUUGUUAAUUGUUAAAGCAUGAGAAGUAUCAAACACAAAUACGUUAUUAAUCAAUCAAGAAGAAUAGAGUACCCAAAAGGGUACUGGGGCCAGGAUUCCCUCCACAAUCCUUUCUUUAUUGUCUUGAGUAAAAGGGAUAAUAGAGUUAGUUGCCCAAAGUAGACAUCUAGCAAGUCUGUUCGGAUACAAAACAUUAGCAAAUCAUCUGUUGUCAAACAUCACACUUUUCAAGGAUAGAAUGUUAGGCUCAAUCGUUCAUAAAAGAAGAGGACCAUAACAUCAUAUACAUAUAACAUAUAGGUAAAAGUACAAAACUAAAUGAGCUUGUUUUUUAGGCUCGGGCUCGAUAAGCGAAGCUCGGGCUCGGACUCGUUUACUAAAUGAGCUUGUUUUUUAGGCUCGGGCUCGAGCUCGUUUAAGCUCGGCUCGUUCAUAUUUUAUGGUCAACCCCCAUGUAUUGUUAUUGUCUAUGUACAUAAACAAUGGCAUUUGGGUCCAAGAAUUUUACAAAUGUUUUCUUGUUUUCUUUCUUAGAAUUUUGAGCCAUUUGGUUACAUUUCACAGCAAACAAUAGCCCUUUGUUCCAUUCUCUGGCCCCUCAUUGCUUCUCUGGUUAAUUUGUCAUUAGUGGCCAUUUGGGGUGGGUGAGAUCUGUUACGUUUAGUCCAAAUAACCAGUGGUUCUGCAGAUCGAACGAUUAAGGAAAGUUAAGGUUGACACUAACAGGGCAUAUAGAACAAGUUAGAGGUCUCGCUGUUAGUACCAGGCAUACCUACAUUUCUCUGCUGGUGAUGACAAACAAGUUAAAUGCUGGGACCUAGAACAAAACAAGGUUAUUCUGUCAUAUUAUGGCCAUCUGAGUGGUGUUUAUUGCUUGGCACUUCAUCCCACUAUUGAUGUUCUUACUGGCGGUCGUGAUUCUGUUUGCUGAGUAUGAAAUUAACAUUUGGCAACUUAACAUUUUCAGGUAUGGGACAUUCGCAGCAAGAUGCAAAUUCAUGCUCUGUCAGGCCACGGCAAUACAGUCUGUUCAGUGUUUACGCGACCUACUGAUCCUCAAGUUGUAAUCGGCUCCCAUGACUCCACCAUUAAGUUCUGGGAUCUUAGAUAUGAGUAUAUCCCGCUAAUUGGAUCGGAUGAUGCAAGAUACACUUUGUUGGGAGUGCCCAACUUUGAAUAAUGAAGCGACUUCGUUUUUUGAUCGAGCCGAGCUUAUAAAAAAGUGAAUUUGGAUCGAGCCGGUGAGAUAUCGAAGGAGAUUAUGUCGGUUCGAAAGACGAUCGAGCAGGUGAAGCUUGUGACGAUGGAAGCUCAGAUGGUUGAAAAUUCUUUAGGCAUACAUGGAGAUGAGAUAUUGUAUGUUGGCGAUCGUAUAUACCCAGAUGUAAGCGUUUCUAAAGUACAUCUUCAUUGGCGGACUACCUUAAUUUGUCUGCUAAUUUUUCUGGUGUUCAGUGAUGCAGGUGAUCGAAUCGAACUGUUACCAAGGGUGAAUAGCACUCAUCGAAGGUGAAUGGCAAAUGAUUUGGAGUUUACGGAUAGUCACAGGUAGUUGGAUAGAGAAUGCAGCCAAUGCGCGAUUAACACCCGGUCUAGCUGUUGAGAAGCUUGGAACAAGAAGAUGGCGUGAUGUUAAGUUACACCCGAUGCAAAGCACAAGACUUACGUGAAGAAAGAACGCGAAGGUUAAGAUUUUGUGUACUGUAUGUACGUAUGGACAAUAAUACCAGAGUUGACUUUGUCUCCAUAACCACGUGAUGGCCGAUGAGCACGAAAAAGACUCGGUGGAAAUGCUGGAAGAAAAUCACCCUAUUGAUAUCAGCAAAUACGCUAAAACCGUCAUCGGACCAAUCUACGAAAAGUUUCAGGACGUUCCUUUGGACCUCUUGUAGUUUACAUUUGUUUCAUGUAUUAAUCAAAUUGGCACUUUGUUUCAUGUAUUAAUCAAUGUUGAUGUUUGUGACAUUAUCUAUGAUUUUAGUGCCUUUUAGUUUACAUUUGUUUCAACACAUAUUAAGAUCAAUACCAACACAUCUUUAACAUUUACCUACACAUAAUAUUACUUUUACCUACAUAUAACAUUACUUUUACCUACACAAAUAUUCAUGCCACGUCACCUGCCACGUCGGAUGCCAUGUCACUUGCCAUGUCGGAUGCCACAUCACUUGCCACGUCACCUGCCACGUCAGAUGCUACGUCACCUGCCACGUCAUGCCACGUCACCUGCCUUCUAAACAAAUUGUUGUACUUUUAACCACACAUAUAAAUGCCUUUUAGCCACACAUAUAUGUGUAAGUAUAGCUUGCUAUAUACCUACACAUAACUUAUGUGUGGGUAAUGGCCUAUAUCCACAGUCACGAGUCUACACAUCAUUACACUUAAUUUAUGUGUAGGUAAAGACAACUACCAACAAACUAUAUGCUUUUUCCCACACAUACUUUGUGUUGGUAAAGCACCAAAUUUCUUGUAGUGGUAAAAGUAUAUGUAAUUCUUUGUUCAUUUCACAAUUUUAUAGAGACUCAUUAUGGUAAAGUAUCUGCAAGUAUUUUUUUUUCUACCAUUCUUUGUUAAAUGAGGAUCUGUCACUAACAAAAAGUAUAUAAAACAAUACAUGCUGCGGAGAAUCAUUAAUCUCAAAAUCUUAAAACUCUUUAUUCAAUAAUUUUCAAAAGUCAAAAAAUAACAAGAGAUGGGUCAGAGAGAGCUAGUACAUUGUUGCCAACAUCAUGUCGAUAUCAAAUUUCAAUUCCCACAAUCCCACUUAUGUCAUAUUGGGGUGGAUAUUGGGCAAUGAUGGUGACAAACCCACCGAGGGGGGUUCGAUCCUGAGCCGCACCCCAGUUUUCAUCCGGCAUCUCGUGUGGAGGUGGUACGGUUUCCAGGGGAACGCCGUAACCAAGUCUGAACAACCCAGUGCGCGGGCUAGGUUAAGACAAUGUAGUCUGGGCAGAUCUUGGCUAGGGCAGACGUUUAGGUGGUGUGACAUUGGGUCACUCAAAAAGAAAGUCAUCGUUCAAAAAAAAAAAAAAAAAAAACCCAAA